AAGUGGUCAAGUUGGGUACUUAGGAACAAUUUCUUCACUGGAAGGGUGGUCAGGCAUUGGAACAGGCUGCCCAGGGAGUGGUGGAAUCACCGUCCCUGGAAGUGUUCAAAACCCAUGUAGACAAAACCCUCAGUGACAUGGUUUAGUGGUGGUUUGGGCAGUGCUGGGGAAUGGUUGGACUUUGCGAUCUUAAAGGUCUUUUCCAACCUAAACAAUUCUGUGAUACUUGACAGGGUGCUGGGAUGAAACAGCCUGGGCAGGAGGAGGCAUGGGGAAUGCAAGGAGGUGGUGCACUGACUUCUUGACAUCUCUUUUUCCCUGCAGAGAUGAUGAGCAGGACCUGCCUUGUGAGCUGUCAUGUCCAGGAACCACUCUGAGCCCUCAGGAGCAGGUUGAGGACAAAGCUGCUUGCAGUGAGUUUGCUUUCUGCUUGCCUGCCAAGUCAUUCCUAGCAGACAACUUUGUUGGUUUUCCUUUUGCUGCUGUUUCUCUUCUCCCCCUGCCUUUAUUCUAGACCCUUGCUGGCUGUUCUGCUAAUUUUCCUGUCUGUAUUGCUUUCUCUUAUGUGGCUGCUCACUUGAGCUGGUGCCAUCUCAUUGGGUGCAGUACCUUUAUUUUUUGUCAUCAUUACGGUUAUUUCUCAUAUCUCUGCUCCAUUCUCCAAAGGUUUUGGCCUUUGUAAGGAUGUCUAAGGUGCUGUUUAUUUUAGCUCUUCAGCGUACUGUAAUUCAAGUUGAUGGUUAGCAUUGUAAUAAGGAAAAAAGAACCCUGUUCUUUUGUGUGUUACCUCUUUAAAUCAGUGUUCAGCUUAAUCUGAGCACUUGUGAAAAGUUGUUUCCAGUGUAUGUAAUAUGUAUUUACAAGUGUACCUGGGUAGAUCCAGUUUAAAUCCCGUGUGACUGGAGGCUGGACAGAAGAACAACAUCAAAAUCUGAAAAGUUGUUAAAAGGAGGGAGGAGAGGGACAUGCCAAUAUAUUGCAUUCUUGGAAGGAAAUUGGCUAUUAUGUGAGAGAAAAGACCUGUUCUGCUUCCUUUUGAAAGGUAUCUGGUGACUCAUCUCUCUUUAAAAACCGCUAUCACAAAACCCUGAGUUAUGCAACUAAUGUAUAAUUAGGUUUUUAGUAAGUCUGUGGUAUUCACAACAAAAUGUAAAGGCAAGCUUUUGUGCAGUAAAGGUAAGGAUUUGGAUUUGUCUUUUUUCUUGCUUGGAAACGCCCUGGCCAGAACUGGCUUUCUGUCGCUUUUCAUAAAUAGACCCUUCAUACUUAAGGUUUCUUCACUAUCUAUGUAUGGCAGGAGAGUUUUCUAGUGGUGGUGUGGUGGGGCUGAACACCACUGUGGUGCACAGGCUUACAUGUGCCAAAGGAGAGCAUUCUCCUUAUGGAGCUGACGCUGCCUGAAUUGCCUUAUGAGAUCAUAAUAAUGGUAACAGUAAAGGAUGGAUCAAGAGGGCAUCCUUGGAGUGAAGGAAGAUAAACAGUGUGCUAGAAUGUAGAGUUUAGAUUUGUUUUACAAGGGUCGAUCUGUUUGGAAAAAUAAGUGAUAGAUAUGUAUGCUGCUUUCUAUAUCUGUUGGAACAGUGGUGUAUGUAUUAUUUAAGAGAAAUGAUUAUAACUGGAGUUGUUUGCACCAAUUAAGUAGUCUGCUCUGCCUACAACUAAAUCAACACCCAGUAUUUUUCUGUUUCUUCCCCAGCAGAUUCCUUAUAGUGAGCUGUCAUGGAGGAUCCCAUUACAGGUCUUGUUUGUUCCUUUUGUGGCAGCCUUUGGGAAUGCCUCACAUCCCACCAAGAAGAAACUCGGGGUGAUAAAAAUAUAGUUUUACCAACAACCAGUCUGAAAGAAAAGGUUUCCUCCUCCUGUGACAAGUGUGCUGGGGAGAACAAUCAUCUGGCAUGUUUGCAGGCACAACAUACUUCAAUGUUGAAGUAGGUUCUAUUGAUGCACAAGAAAUAAUCGCUUCCAGUCCUUCUCUCACAGCCCUAAUGCUGCUUUUCUACUCUGAAAAGAGACCAGCUGACUGAGGAAAGCACUGUUCCCUUCAGCAGAAAAAGGAUUUGGGAUUCAUGCUUGUCUCAGAAAGAGGCAGACUCUGGCAGAAAGGAUUUGUUUGUGGCUGGCAAGCUGGGUGAAGAUGAAAGUCCUGGAAAAGUCCCCUUCAUGACUGACUUCUGCAAGGGGACCUCCUUUUAAUUCCUGGCCUGCAAGAUCACAGGGCUGAAGUGCUGCUACCAUGUUCGUGAAGCUGGAGCCCUGUCAUGUGAGUGUACCAGACACUAAAUAGGAGUGAGUAGCUACAGCCCUUUUUUCCCCCAAAAGCAAGCCAACUGUUUUUUCUCACUGCCUUGGAAGAUAAACCCAGUUUCCAUAUUUCCAUGUUGUCAGCUGGAUUUCAGGUUCUACUCCUCAUCAUAAAGUUGUCAAGGAUCGUUAAUAGUAGUGAUAAGUGAAGACGGGGCAAAUAUAAUAGGGGGGAGUAUGUAAUUCUUUUAGCCC